rnacentral:rRNA from 1 species
AUGUUACCCUUGGUCAUACAGGGAAAGUGUGAAGCACUCUGGCCAAUUUUCCGCAUUUCUCAUCCAAGAAGCCGUUACAUUUAUGAUCUUUUCUAUAGAAGAAGGAAGGAUAUAUCUAAGGAGCUGUAUGAAUUUUGCCUGGACCAGGAUUAUGCAGACCGUAAUCUCAUUACAAACUGGAAAAAUGUUAGUUGCCUCAGCUUUAUAUCAUUUGAGCUAGGGGCCAAGACGGAUGAGGUUGAUUUGGCUUGA